rnacentral:misc_RNA from 1 species
UUGAAUUCCAAACGUAAAGGACUUGUGCUGUUGCGCUUCGGCUGCACGCCUUGUCCGAUACACUCACACCUGUGCACCUUUGACCCGCAUAUAGUCGGGUCCUUACACACACACUUAAAAUCUUAGAAUGUUUUAUAUAUGAAAUUAUGA